AUUGAACGCUGGCGGCAGGCCUAACACAUGCAAGUCGAGCGGAUGAAGGGAGCUUGCUCCUGGAUUCAGCGGCGGACGGGUGAGUAAUGCCUAGGAAUCUGCCUGGUAGUGGGGGAUAACGUCCGGAAACGGGCGCUAAUACCGCAUACGUCCUGAGGGAGAAGGUGGGGGAUCUUCGGACCUCACGCUAUCAGAUGAGCCUAGGUCGGAUUAGCUAGUUGGUGGGGUAAAGGCCUACCAAGGCGACGAUCCGUAACUGGUCUGAGAGGAUGAUCAGUCACACUGGAACUGAGACACGGUCCAGACUCCUACGGGAGGCAGCAGUGGGGAAUAUUGGACAAUGGGCGAAAGCCUGAUCCAGCCAUGCCGCGUGUGUGAAGAAGGUCUUCGGAUUGUAAAGCACUUUAAGUUGGGAGGAAGGGCAGUAAGUUAAUACCUUGCUGUUUUGACGUUACCAACAGAAUAAGCACCGGCUAACUUCGCG
rnacentral:rRNA from 1 species